GGACUGUGGCUCAGUGGUAGAAUGCUUGCCUAGCAUGUGUGAGGCACUGGGUUCGAUCCUCAGCACCA
rnacentral:tRNA from 1 species